CGUACACUCCUGCGGGAGGCAGCAGUGGGGAAUAUUGCACAAUGGGCGCAAGCCUGAUGCAGCCAUGCCGCGUGUGUGAAGAAGGCCUUCGGGUUGUAAAGCACUUUCAGCGGGGAGGAAGGCAAUGCGGUUAAUAACCGUGUUGAUUGACGUUACCCGCAGAAGAAGCACCGGCUAACUCCGUGCCAGCAGCCGCGGUAAUACGGAGGGUGCAAGCGUUAAUCGGAAUUACUGGGCGUAAAGCGCACGCAGGCGGUCUGUCAAGUCGGAUGUGAAAUCCCCGGGCUCAACCUGGGAACUGCAUUCGAAACUGGCAGGCUUGAGUCUUGUAGAGGGGGGUAGAAUUCCAGGUGUAGCGGUGAAAUGCGUAGAGAUCUGGAGGAAUACCGGUGGCGAAGGCGGCCCCCUGGACAAAGACUGACGCUCAGGUGCGAAAGCGUGGGGAGCAAACAGGAUUAGAAACCCUAGUAGUCCCAUG
rnacentral:rRNA from 1 species